UACAGAGGUCCCAAGCGUUGUUCGGAUUCAUUGGGCGUAAAGGGUGCGUAGGUGGCGCCGUAAGUCGGGUGUGAAAUUUCGGAGCUUAACUCCGAAACUGCAUUCGAUACUGCGGUGCUUGAGGACUGGAGAGGAGACUGGAAUUCCUGGUGUAGCGGUGAAAUGCGCAGAUAUCAGGAGGAACACCGAUGGCGAAGGCAGGUCUCUGGGCAUUAACUGACGCUGAGGAGCGAAAGCAUGGGGAGCGAACAGG
rnacentral:rRNA from 1 species